rnacentral:rRNA from 1 species
UACGUAGGGUGCAAGCGUUGUCCGGAAUUAUUGGGCGUAAAGAGCUCGUAGGCGGUUUGUCGCGUCUGCUGUGAAAACCCGAGGCUCAACCCCGGGCCUGCAGUGGGUACGGGCAGACUAGAGUGCGGUAGGGGAGACUGGAAUUCCUGGUGUAGCGGUGAAAUGCGCAGAUAUCAGGAGGAACACCGGUGGCGAAGGCGGGUCUCUGGGCCGUAACUGACGCUGAGGAGCGAAAGCGUGGGGAGCGAACAGG